rnacentral:rRNA from 1 species
GAUGAACGCUGGCGGCGUGCUUAACACGUGCAAGUCGAACGGAAAGGCUCCUGCUUGCAGGGGUACUCGAGUGGCGAACGGGUGAGUAACACGUGGGUGAUCUGCCCUGCACUUCGGGAUAAGCCUGGGAAACUGGGUCUAAUACCGGAUAGGACGAUGGUUUGGAUGCCAUUGUGGAAAGGUUUUUCGGUGUGGGAUGAGCUCGCGGCCUAUCAGCUUGUUGGUGGGGUAAUGGCCUACCAAGGCGUCGACGGGUAGCCGGCCUGAGAGGGUGUACGGCCACAUUGGGACUGAGAUACGGCCCAGACUCCUACGGGAGGCAGCAGUGGGGAAUAUUGCACAAUGGGCGCAAGCCUGAUGCAGCGACGCCGCGUGGGGGAUGACGGCCUUCGGGUUGUAAACUCCUUUCGCUAGGGACGAAGCGCAAGUGACGGUACCUGGAGAAGAAGCACCGGCUAACUACGUG